GGCUCAUUCAGUGUUUUGUGUUGAGUCCAAGAGGUUGGGCACAGGAGCAGCUUGCGAUCGCGCUUUGGGGUGUAGCCGGACCAGCAAAAACUUCACCUUUUGGAUAACGUACUUUUCGGAUGCAGUUGCGCCCAGUCCAUCAAAUGGCAGAUGUCUAGAGAUUGCCCUUCUCUUAGAUGUCAGCCAUCGGCGUACUCGAAAAUAAUGCCAGGAAAAUCCUUUCGAUUUCGGUCCAGUCACAGCCGCCUCUUCCAACAGCACCACUUCCAACAAAUCCUCUGCACAAUCCACACACACACACAAAAACCAUUCUAGGACCAGAACCCAGACGGAGCUAGCUAGCCUCCUGGCCCACACACCUUUUUGGCCCUCAUCACGAAACAUUGAAUCGUUGGAAGGUCGCACCACACCCAUCCAUCCAUCCAUCCAUCCAUCCAUCCAGCAACACCCCACCAAACGUCGUUUCGGAACUUUGGACAAAAUUCACAUUUGUGUUUAAGUUUAGGUGUAAACAAUAAACAAAAGAACAACAAUAGGCUACCAAAAAAAGUAAAAAAAAAAAAUCGAAAA